CUCUGGCUCAGCAGGGAUGCGGUCUCCUCUCUCCCUCCCUCCUUCCCUCGUGGCCGCGGGGCUGGGCUCCGGGAGGGAGGGGCGCUGAGCGCACCCCAAUUUACAUCCUAGCAAAUGGGAUUAGCAGGAAGGGCUGGAGGUGCUUCCUGGGGGGGAAAAAAAUAAAAAUGGGAGAGCCCUGAUUUUUCACGCUGCAAAGUGAAAGCACCUGCAGCCUGUGGAAACUCAUUCAUUCAAUGGCAGGAAGAGGGGGGGCUGAGCUAAUGAGCAUCACUCGUCCUUCACCGCCUCCUGCUCACUCCCAGAGCCAAAGCAGGGCUGACAUCAGGUGGAAACACCCUGCGCUGGGUCCUAUCUAGUGCCUGUGCCCGACCUUGAAUCUUUAACUUGGACGGGAAAGAAAGCGCUUUGUGCAAGAGCCAUGACUCCACGCAAUGCACAUCACGAGCUCUGCAGCCACCUUGGAGAGCCCAAAGGAUGGCACCAGACUUUGUACAUCAGACUUUGCACAUCAGACACUGCAGUGGAAGGCCACAAACCAUGUGGCAGAGGAGUGGGGUCCCACCUGGAAAUGGUCGUGUAAUUUGGUGCCCUGACUCUGCCCCAUAUCCUCAGAUAAACAUGGGAGAAGUGCAAGUGAAGGAGGUGUGGGCAGCAGAGCAGAGAAGCAGCAGAAGUCAGGAGAGCAUCAUCCCGAAGAUGAAAGCUGACAGCCUCAGUAAGACAACCCAGCCACGAGCAGCCUCAUUUUCCAUCUCGCAGAGGGGAAGCCAAAGCAAAGCGAAAUGGCUGGUCCCAACCAAAAAUAGGACCUGGAGCACCCGACAGCGACGCCUCUGCUUCAACUGUUCGCUCGCUCCGCUUCCCUGUUGCCUAGGGAGACAGCGUGUCACCAGGAGAAAGGAGCUGCAAGAGAAGGUGCCUCUUGAGUCCUGCUCUGGACUCCAACAGGAGAAGGAGCUUCACCUGGCUUCAACCCUGGCUCACCAGCUCUGCCAGCUCACAUCCUCUGGUCUGAGGGUUUCCCCUUAUCACGAUACUAGUGGUGAUGGUGAUCACCCUUUGCUAGCUCCAGAGAGACCAACAAGAAGUGCUGCCCACAGCCCGGAAUUUUGUAAGGAGGGGGAGUGUAAAUUUAAAGCAGUUUUGAAAAAAAAAAAAAAAAAAUCCUCUUUCAUGUUUACA